rnacentral:lncRNA from 10 species
CUUUGUCCCUAAUUGGCCAGGUGGCCUUGGGCACGGCACAGAAGCUCCCUGAACGUCAGUUCUCUUUCCUAAAGAGGUCACAGCACUGCCUCCCGCAUAGAGUGUCUCGAGGACUAAAUGAGACUGGGCCCAUGAGAUACUUCUCCUGGCGCCUGGCAAAUAUCCCAAGAGGGGGACGGAGGAAACUGAGGCCAAGAGAGGCCAUGGAACAGGAUGAAACUCCAUCCCCUUUUCCUGUGCCUGUGGCCCAGCCCACCUGCCCAGCCUCCUCUGCAGUGAGGUGCCGGAGCUCCAGCCAUGUCAAACCUGCAAGGCACGGUGGCUGUCCUGGGCGGUCACUCCAUGGCCUCCUCAUAACCCCAUGACAGGCCCACUAUGUGCUGGGCUGGGCUGCCCUCCGCAGUGCUCCCAGGGCCCUGCACCUUCACCUUCUGUCUCUGGCAUGGGCUCGCCUACCUUGGACAAAACUACUUUGCCUCCCUGAGCCUCAGUUUCCCCAUUUGCAUAAUGGGAAUGACCUCAAAGGGUCAAUGUGAGGAUUAGAUGAGAGACAAGAUCAUAACAGGCAAUGGUCCUGUUGAUUAACCCAAAAUAAAUGAAUGCUUGGCGCUUCGUGGGU